ACGUGAUCGGUUUUAGCUCCGAACAAACAGGAAUACAUGGUGGUGGGACAUGGGAGAUGUCGAAAAACUCAACUUUCCAUCGAUCUAGUGCAAUUGAUAGGGAUUGUGCACCUGCGCGACCGUCCUCUUUGUUGUUCUUCGUCAAGCCUGAGCUGGUGGUGCCGCGCCAACGCGAGGUGAGGCCGCUCUCCAACGUCGACAACCAGCCGGAGGUGCAUUUAUACGUGAUAGUCAUCGAAUUCUUCCGGUGCCUCGUCCCCGGAGGGGCGCCGGCUCAACCGGUGGGUUUCCUCAAGGCCGGCCUGGAGGAUGCCCUGGUGCACUACUACCCCAUGGCUGGUCGCCUGCGGGAGCUCCCACACGGCAAGAAGCUAGUGGUGGACUGCACGGCGGAGGUAGUGGUGUUCAUGGAGGCGGACGCCACGUGCGGCUGGAGGAGUUCGCCAAGCCGCUGGUGCCACCAUACCCCUGCGUUGACGAGCUCAUGUGCGACGUGGGUGAUAUGGGAGCUAUCGUCCGCAAGCCGUUGCUCAGGAAACUAACCGAGGGCUAGAAAAAGUGGGUCUAGUGGGUUCCCGAUGGGUUAAGUGGGAUAGCCCAUCAAUUUUUUGCAGUGUUCCACGGGUGCCCACUAAACACUUUUAAGUGGGAUGGGUGGAUGAGUCCCACCGCAGCCCACUCCCACCUGCAGCCUGAAAUAUAAGAGUGUACACACAGUGAUAAAACAGCAAGCAGUACCAAUACC